UAAAUGAAAGCAAAUUAAUUGCAUCUAACUGUUAAUUAGAAGUAAGUCUUAGACUCAUUUAG
rnacentral:tRNA from 1 species